GCUCGAAUGGCGGAACUGGUAGACGCGCUGCAUUCAGGGUGCAGUCGAAGUAAUUUCGGUGAGGGUUCGAGUCCCUCUUUGAGCACUA
rnacentral:tRNA from 1 species